rnacentral:tRNA from 1 species
UGCCCCGUGGCUAAGUUGGUUACAGCGUCCGACUGUUAAUCGGAAGGUCGUGAGUUCGAGCCUCACCGGGGCAG